CAGCAGCCGCGGUAAUACGUAGGUGGCAAGCGUUGUCCGGAAUUAUUGGGCGUAAAGGGCUCACAGGCGGUUUCUUAAGUCUGAUGUGAAAGCCCCCGGCUCAACCGGGGAGGGUCAUUGGAAACUGGGAAACUUGAGUGCAGAAGAGGAGAGUGGAAUUCUACGUGUAGCGGUGAAAUGCGUAGAGAUGUGGAGGAACACCAGUGGCGAAGGCGACUCUCUGGUCUGUAACUGACGCUGAGGAGCGAAAGCGUGGGGAGCGAUCAGGAUUAGAUACCCCCGUAGUCCCUGUCUCUUAUAC
rnacentral:rRNA from 1 species